rnacentral:rRNA from 1 species
UAAGACUUGCUCUUAUGAGUUAGCGGCGGANGGGUGAGUACACGUGGGUACCUGCCCAUAAGACUGGGAUAACUCCGGGAAACCGGGGCUAAUACCGGAUAACAUUUUGAACUGCAUGGUUCGAAAUUGAAAGGCGGCUUCGGCUGUCACUUAUGGAUGGACCCGCGUCGCAUUAGCUAGUUGGUGAGGUAACGGCUCACCAAGGCAACGAUGCGUAGCCGACCUGAGAGGGUGAUCGGCCACACUGGGACUGAGACACGGCCCAGACUCCUACGGGAGGCAGCAGUAGGGAAUCUUCCGCAAUGGACGAAAGUCUGACGGAGCAACGCCGCGUGAGUGAUGAAGGCUUUCGGGUCGUAAAACUCUGUUGUUAGGGAAGAACAAGUGCUAGUUGAAUAAGCUGGCACCUUGACGGUACCUAACCAGAAAGCCACGGCUAACUACGUGC